rnacentral:rRNA from 1 species
UCGGUUGAUCCUGCCGGAGGUCACUGCUAUCGAGGUUCGACUAAGCCAUGCGAGUCGAAUGCCGCAAGGCAUGGCGUACUGCUCAGUAACACGUGGAUAACCUACCCUUGGGACGGGCAUAAACCCGGGAAACUGGGUAUAAUUCCCGAUAGGUCUGGGAGGCUGGAAUGCAUUCAGACUGAAAGCUCCGGCACCCAAGGAUGGGUCUGCGGCCUAUCGGGUAGUAGUGGGUGUAAUGUACCUACUAGCCUACUACGGGUACGGGUUGUGAGAGCAAGAGCCCGGAGAUGGAUUCUGAGACACGAAUCCAGGCCCUACGGGGUGCAGCAGGCGCGAAAACUUUACAAUGCGGGCAACCGCGAUAAGGGGACCUCGAGUGCCGACAUCAAAUGUCGGCUGUCGUGAUGCCUAAAAAGCAUUAUAUAGCAAGGGCCGGGCAAGACCGGUGCCAGCCGCCGCGGUAACACCGGCGGCUCGAGUGGUGACCGCUAUUAUUGGGUUUAAAGGGUCUGUAGCCGGCCGGAUAAGUCUCUUGAGAAAUCUGGCCGCUCAACGGUCAGGCUUUCAGGAGAUACUGUCUGGCUCGAGGCCGGGAGGGGUGAGAGGUACUUCAGGGGUAGGGGUGAAAUCUUGUAAUCCUUGAAGGACCACCAGUGGCGAAGGCGUCUCACCAGAACGGANCUGACGGCAAGGGACGAAAGCUAGGGGCACGGACCGGAUUAGAUACCCGGGUAGUCCUAGCCGUAAACGAUACUCGCUAGGUGUCGGCCACGGUGCGACCGUGGUCGGUGCCNCAGGGAAACCGUGAAGCGAGCCACCUGGGAAGUACGGCCGCAAGGCUGAAACUUAAAGGAAUUGGCGGGG